GUCCUGCAGCAUGGAGAGAAUGUUGUACAAUAAGUUGCUGCACAUCCUUCAACUCAGAUGCGCAAAGUCUGCAACACCUCAAGCUAAAACCAGAUAUUACAUGGACCACUCACAAGAUCCCCUCUGUGUUAAUCCGCAAAGUAUAGGAGUUGUUACAGCUCUCAGCUACGCAGCCUGGCUCUGAACCUCAGCCUGCAACAACCUGGGCUUUUAGCUCUGGAGGCACCUACUUCAAUCCCAGUGUGUCAGCCAAGACAGAGGCCAUAACAAACUUCCCUAACAUGUUCUAGUCCUACCCCAGAGAGCUCCUUCUGAGGGCUGAACAACAUUACUCUGUACUGAACCACAGCAGAUGAAGAAAGUAACAUUUCAUCAUCCUAGCAGUUCAGUGAAUACAAUUCCUGCAUUUAUCAAGUACCAGAUACCUGACACCAAGGCAAACAAACAGGCAAAUAUGAGUGUGUUGCUGUAUCUUUCAGCUCCGUCCUUACACAUCUCCCCAGGGGUAAAAAAAACUUAUGAAUGCUAAAGUGUUCUCAAAAGGUUUUCUUUUUAGCUAGAUUAAUAGCUCUUUAGAGGGCUCCUUCACCACAGGCUCCUUUGGACACCGAUGUUUUGUUGAACUUGUACGCCCUUCCUCUGAAAUGGAGGUUAUUCGAUAACCAUUUACAACACUCAGUGCAUUGAUGUACAAGAGUGCAGAGCACCGGUUACAGAUUUCUGGAAGUGUAUCCUCAGCCAGAUCACAAAUAAACUUCUGAGAUAUUUGCUUCUGGGGAUGCCUGACCUGGAAAGAUAGGAUCAGGUUAAACAUGAGGCACUUGGAACAAGGGGCUUCACUCCAAGGCACCAUCCCUACUCAGG